rnacentral:rRNA from 1 species
GUAAUCUAUAAGUCCAUAUUUAUAUUUUCACGAAACCAAACGAUCUAAUUUAUAAUCAGCUUUUAGGUUUAAAAUUUUGGCGUAGUAUAGCCAAUUAGUAAUUAUAAGUUAGGGGUGACAGGCCUUACAAGUUAGGGGAUAUCUUGAUAUUAAGGAAAUAUAUAUAGUAUAUAAGUCAAUUUGGAAAUGGUAAGGUUUCCAAAAGGUAUAAAUUUUGUUUUAUAAAUAAAUGGUCUAUGUAAAAAUUACCAAGUUUAACCAUUAAAAUAUUAAGCACUUUAAUUUAUAUUUUGAACUUGAUAAAUUUGUAUUAUAUUUUUACAAAUAUAAUAAUGAUUUCAUUAGUAUUAUUAAUAGAUUUUAGUAAGGAAUUCGGCAAAUAUAUUCUCAACUGUUUAUCAAAAACAUAGCCUAAAGUAUUUAAAUUUUAGGUUAAACCUGCUCAAUGAGUUUUAAAUAGCCGCAGUAUAUUGACUGUGCAAAGGUAGCAUAAUCAAUUGGCUUAUAAUUGAAGUCUAGUAUGAAUGGGAGUUUGGGGAAAAGCUGUCUUAUAAAAAUAAUUUGAAAUUGCUCAAUAAGUGAAAAUUCUUAUAUUAAGAAAAAAGACGAGAAGACCCUAGAAAUUUUAUUAAAAUUUUAUAUUAUCAAUUUUGUUGGGGCGACAAGGUAACAUAAAACUUACCUAAAGUAAUAGAAACCUAUUGAGGGAAGUAUAUAAAUUACUCUAGGGAUAACAGCAUAAUAUUUAAAAGAUUGUGACCUCGAUGUUGGACUAGGAAAUUUAAUACCCAAAAGGAAUUAAAUUAGGCUCUGUUCGAGCUUUUAACUCCUACAUGAUCUGAGUUCAGACCGG